rnacentral:tRNA from 1 species
UCGGGGGUGGUGUAACCGGCAGCACGGCAGGUUCUGGACCUGUUGGUAGAGGUUCGAUUCCUCUCCCCCGAGCGA